rnacentral:rRNA from 1 species
GACGAACGCUGGCGGCGUGCUUAACACAUGCAAGUCGAACGGAAAGAGAUGAAAGAGCUUGCUCUUUUAUUAAUUUCAGUGGCAAACGGGUGAGUAACACGUAAACAACCUGCCUUAAGGAUGGGGAUAACAGACGGAAACGACUGCUAAUACCGAAUACGUUCUAAGCAUCGCAUGAUGCAUAGAAGAAAGGGUGGCCUCUACAAGAAAGCUAUCGCCUUAAGAGGAGUUUGCGACUGAUUAGGUAGUUGGUGAGGUAACGGCUCACCAAGCCGACGAUCAGUAGCCGGUCUGAGAGGAUGAACGGCCACACUGGAACUGAGACACGGUCCAGACUCCUACGGGAGGCAGCAGUGGGGAAUCUUCCGCAAUGGACGAAAGUCUGACGGAGCAACGCCGCGUGAACUAAGAAGGUCUUCGGAUUGUAAAGUUCUGUGAUUCGGGACGAAAGGGUUUGUGGUGAAUAAUCAUAGACACUGACGGUACCGAAAAAGCAAGCCACGGCUUACUACGUGCCAGCAGCCGCGGUAAUACGUAGGUGGCAAGCGUUGUCCGGAAUUAUUUGGGCGUAUAGUUGGCGCAUUCGUUUUCUUAGUGCUUCUUUAAAGCGUGGGGCUCAACCCCAUUAGGUGAUGGAAACUGGUGAUUGGGGGGAUCGGAGAGGUAAAGUUGAAUUCUGAGUUGUUUCUGGUUGUAUGCGAUUUGUGAUUGAUGACAAUGUGGUUGCAUGUGUGUUUGUGUGUCAAUGACUGUGAGUGUGGUGGGUGAAUCGUGUUGUUUGAUGUGGUUUUUGUGCUGUGUUUGUCUAGUGUGAUUUUAGGGAUGUGGGUGUGGCGUGUGUGGGUUGUCUGUGUGUGUGGUGAAGAAGAAGGUACUGUGUGUUUGUUUGUGGUGUUGUGAUGUGGUGAUGUUGCUGUCUGUUGUCUGUGUGUGUUGUGUGGGGGUGUUG